CCCUGCGGCACCUCCUUACCAAGAGUCCCCACCCCUUGCCGCCUCCGCAGCGCGGGGACGUCUGGGAAAUGCAGUCCAGAGCCCGGUGAAAGCUUGAAAAGAUUGCCCCACGCGAACUACAAUUCCCAGGAUGGGCCACUUCUCGGCGGCUUUGCUUCUCCCUCCCUUAUCCCCUCUCAGCGUUUGGUGUUUCUCAAGCCACAACCUCUGUCUGCUGGCUGCGGGUUUUGUGUUUUCAGAAGCUCCGCAGUUGGCUGUGCCGAAGUGCUAGACUGAUUUCAACCAUUAUUCACAAACAAAGACGUUUGUUUUAGACCAUGAAUGACGAAGCACGAAGAGAAAAGAAAGGGGUGGCAGCUGCCUGAAAAACUGGUUGCAUGUGAACCUAGCCCUAUACCUGGGGGUGAAGGUUGUAUACUUGCGAGUUUUGAGGAAGUACCCGCAUCCCUGCCAAAGAAACUGGCCAGAGUUUCUCCUGUAGUAUGCAGUUUAUGGAAUCUCCUCUUUCUUCCUGCAGUGAUGUUGUUCUAUGUUUGCAUAGGCUACGUCCUUGAGACGAAGCGAUUGAUGACCUGCAGCUGAAGAUUGUGUUGCACUGGCCUGAACAAACGCCGUGAAACAGGAUACUAAUUAUCUCCAGUAUUCUGUUGCUACCUGAAAUUAAAAGUCCUCAGUUCUGCCAGAUUACAUUCAUUCAUUAAAGAGAAGAAAAUAAA